rnacentral:rRNA from 1 species
AACGAACGCUGGCGGCAUGCCUAACACAUGCAAGUCGAACGAGACCUUCGGGUCUAGUGGCGCACGGGUGCGUAACGCGUGGGAACCUGCCCUUAGGUUCGGAAUAACUCCCCGAAAGGGGUGCUAAUACCGGAUAAUGUCUUCGGACCAAAGAUUUAUCGCCUUUGGAUGGGCCCGCGUUGGAUUAGCUAGUUGGUAGGGUAAAAGCCUACCAAGGCGACGAUCCAUAGCUGGUCUGAGAGGAUGAUCAGCCACACUGAGACUGAGGCACGGCCCAGACUCCUACGGGAAGCAGCAGUGGGGAAUAUUGGACAAUGGGCGAAAGCCUGAUCCAGCAAUGCCGCGUGAGUGAUGAAGGCCUUAGGGUUGUAAAGCUCUUUUACCCGGGAUGAUAAUGACAGUACCGGGAGAAUAAGCUCCGGCUAACUCCGUG